CAAUAGCGUAUAUUAAAGUUGUUGCAGUUAAAAAGCUCGUAGUUGAAUUUCUAGUUAGCUAUUCUCUGGUCUUCCAGAUACUAGUUAGCUAUCCGACAAUGAACCAUAUCGGUUAUUAAGUUAACCCUAUGGAGAACUGUCAUUUUACUUUGAAAAAAUUAGAGUGCUCAGAGCAGGCUCCUAUUAUGGCCUGAAUGCUUAUGCAUGGAAUAAUGAAAUAAGACCUCGAUUCCAUUUUGUCUGGUUUUUAUGGAAUUGGAGGUAAUGACUAAUAGAGACAGACGGGGGCAUUUGUAUUGCGACGCUAGAGGUGAAAUUCUUGGACCGUCGCAAGACAAACAACUGCGAAAGCAUUUGCCAAGGAUGUUUUCAUUAAUCAAGAACGAAAGUUAGAGGUU
rnacentral:rRNA from 1 species